GCUGCCCCUAGGUACGUCGCAGGAGUGGCUGCUGUGUCACAUGUAUGCCAGUAGAUGGCAGAGAGAAGAGGGGCUAUGUCUACACUCCCUUCUGACCCGUGAACACCUGAAUGGUAACCGGCACAGG